rnacentral:lncRNA from 1 species
CCUCUUUCUCUCUUAUUCUGUUUAUCCAGUAUGUUGCCAAGUUUUAUUAAUUCUACCUGAAAUAUCUCUAUGCCCCCUUCUCUCCUGAUACUACCACCACCCUGGUAUAGUCCUCAUCACCUUAUAUCUAGGUGAUAGUAGUAGCCUGCUGGUGGGUCAGUUUGCUUCAAAUCUGUUCCUACUUCAGUCCAUCCCCCGACUCAGUCAUCAAAAAGAAUUUUCCAAAGUUCAUGUCUGAAUGUCAACACCUGAAUAAGGGAACUAUUCAAUACUUAUUGAAUAAUAAACUCCAGUGCCUCCCCAUUACAUUCUAGAUCAAAUAGAAUAUCAAUUUGUUUUAAAAGCCCUUCAUAACUUCUUCCCUACUACCUUUAUGACCCUAUCUUUAUAGUCAAACUCCCUUUGAUAUACUCUAAAAUUCUGUCACACUUGACUCUUCUGUUUCAUCUUCCAAUUUUGUGCAUUUUUAUUAGUUAAUCCCUAAGCCUGGAAUGAGGCAGCUAGGUGGCAGUGGAGAUAGCAUUUAUCCUGGAAUCAUGAAGAGGAUACUGGCAUGUCAGAGAACUUUUUCUAUCUAUUCUUCAUUGACAAAAGAAAUUACUGAAUAAGAUUGCUGGUAACUUUCAAUUGGAAUGAUUGGCUC